GACGAACGCUGGCGGCGUGCUUAACACAUGCAAGUCGAACGGAAAGGCCCUGCUUUUGUGGGGUGCUCGAGUGGCGAACGGGUGAGUAACACGUGAGUAACCUGCCCUUGACUUUGGGAUAACUUCAGGAAACUGGGGCUAAUACCGGAUAGGAGCUCCUGCUGCAUGGUGGGGGUUGGAAAGUUUCGGCGGUUGUGGAUGGACUCGCGGCUUAUCAGCUUGUUGGUGGGGUAGUGGCUUACCAAGGCUUUGACGGGUAGCCGGCCUGAGAGGGUGACCGGCCACAUUGGGACUGAGAUACGGCCCAGACUCCUACGGGAGGCAGCAGUGGGGAAUAUUGCACAAUGGGCGGAAGCCUGAUGCAGCAACGCCGCGUGCGGGAUGACGGCCUUCGGGUUGUAAACCGCUUUCGCCUGUGACGAAGCGUUAGUGACGGUAAUGGGUAAAGAAGCACCGGCUAACUACGUG
rnacentral:rRNA from 1 species